GGGGGGUGAAUUAGUGAGAGCUAGUGAGGGAAGAGGGGGGGUUGAAUUAGUGAGAGCUAGUGAGGGAAGAGGGGGUUGAAUUAGUGAGAGCUAGUGAGGGAAGAGGGGGGGUUGAAUUAGUGAGAGCUAGUGAGGGGAAGAGGGGGGUUGAAUUAGUGAGAGCUAGUGAGGGAAGAGGGGGGUUGAAUUAGUGAGAGCUAGUGAGGGGAAGAGGGGGGGUUGAAUUAGUGAGAGCUAGUGAGGGGAAGAGGAGGGGUUGAAUUAGUGAGAGCUAGUGAGGGGAAGAGGGGGGGUUGAAUUAGUGAGAGCUAGUGAGGGGAAGAGGGGGGUUGAAUUAGUGAGAGCUAGUGAGGG
ensembl:lncRNA